rnacentral:rRNA from 1 species
GUGGGGAAUCUUCCACAAUGGGCGAAAGCCUGAUGGAGCAACGCCGCGUGCAGGAUGAAGGCCUUCGGGUUGUAAACUGCUUUUAUAAGUGAAGAAUAUGACGGUAACUUAUGAAUAAGCACCGGCUAACUACGUGCCAGCAGCCGCGGUCAUACGUAGGGUGCAAGCAUUAUCCGGAGUGACUGGGCGUAAAGAGUUGCGUAGGUGGUUUGUUAAGCGAGUAGUGAAAUCAGGCGGCUCAACCGUUCUGGCUAUUACUCGAACUGGCAAACUCGAGAAUGGUAGAGGUAACUGGAAUUUCUUGUGUAGGAGUGAAAUCCGUAGAUAUAAGAAGGAACACCAAUGGCGUAGGCAGGUUACUGGACCAUUUCUGACACUAAGGCACGAAAGCGUGGGGAGCGAACGGGAUUAGAAACCCCGGUAGUCC